rnacentral:tRNA from 1 species
GGGCCUGUGGCUCAGUGAGUAAGCGCUGGCCCCAUAUACCAGGGUGGCAGGUUCAAAUCCUGCCCUGGGCCA